AUUGAACGCUGGCGGCAGGCCUAACACAUGCAAGUCGAGCGGAUGAAGGGAGCUUGCUCCUGGAUUCAGCGGCGGACGGGUGAGUAAUGCCUAGGAAUCUGCCUGGUAGUGGGGGAUAACGUCCGGAAACGGGCGCUAAUACCGCAUACGUCCUGAGGGUGAAAGUGGGGGAUCUUCGGACCUCACGCUAUCAGAUGAGCCUAGGUCGGAUUAGCUAGUUGGUGGGGUAAAGGCCUACCAAGGCGACGAUCCGUAACUAGUCUGAGAGGAUGAUCAGUCACACUGGAACUGAGACACGGUCCAGACUCCUACGGGAGGCAGCAGUGGGGAAUAUUGGACAAUGGGCGAAGGCCUGAUCCAGCCAUGCCGCGUGUGUGAAGAAGGUCUUCGGAUUGUAAAGCACUUUUAGUUGGGAGGAAGGGCAGUAAGUUAAUACCUUGCUGUUUUGACGUUACCAACAGAAUAAGCACCGGCUAACUUCGUG
rnacentral:rRNA from 1 species